ensembl:lncRNA
UACCUUCACAGAUCCUGUCUAGUCUCUGUCUCUUCACUUUGUGUUUGUCUGUCAGAGCCAUGUCUGUGCGUCUUUCUGUCUGUUGACACGAUGACUCCUCUCCUCCUCAGCCAGUGAUGGGAGGCCCUCUCCUCCUCUGCCAGUGAUGGGAGGCCCUCUCCUCCUCAGCCAGUGAUGGGAGGCCCUCUCCUCCUCUGCCAGUGAUGGGAGGCCCUCUCCUUCUCAGCCAGUGAUGGGUGGCCCUCUCCUUCUCAGCCAGUGAUGGGAGGCCCGCUCCUCCUCAGCCAGUGAUGGGUGGCCCUCCUCCUCCUCAGCCAGUGAUGGGUGGCCCUCUCCUCCUCAGCCAGUGAUGGGUGGCCCUCUCCUCCUCAGCCAGUGAUGGGUGGCCCUCUCCUCCUCAGCCAGUGAUGGGUGGCCCUCUCCUCCUCAGCCAGUGAUGGGUGGCCCUCUCCUCCUCAGCCAGUGAUGGGUGGCCCUCUCCUCCUCAGCCAGUGAUGGGUGGCCCUCUCCUUCCUCUGCCAGUGAUGGGAGGCCCUCUCCUCCUCAGCCAGUGAUGGGUGGCACCACAGACAGAAAGACAGUGAUGGGAGGCCCUGGGAAUGAUGGGGAACCCUAGCCACUGUAGCACAUGGUUAACAGUCCUCCCUGUAUCGCCUUGACACACACCUGCAACACAACACACACACACUGGGUUAAACACACUGUCUGGAAUCACAUACAACACAACACACACACACUGGGUUAAACACACUGUCUGGAAUCACAUACAACACAACACAACACACACACACUGGGUUAAACACACUGUCUGGAAACACCUACAACACAACACACACACUGGGUUAAACAAACUGUCUGGAAUCACCUACAACACAACACACACACACUGUCUUCAAACACCUACAACACAACACACACACACUGUCUUCAAACACCUGCAACACAACACACACACGCUGGGUUAAACACACUGUCUUCAAACACCUACAACACAUUUUGU